rnacentral:misc_RNA from 1 species
ACUUCAAUUACAUCGACAAGUAAUACAACGUAGAUCGACGAAAAAAUAGUCAAGUAACUACGCGUUAUCAAAGAUUACUCAAAAAGUAGUUAUCAGAUCUCGAUAAAAUUUAUGUGUGACCACAUAAUAAACAUCAGCUUUCGAUUUAAUUAAAAAUUAUCAAAAUCGGUACACCCACUAAAAAGUUAUGCGCUAUAAUACAACGUGGGUCGACGAAAAAAGCGUCAAGUAAAAACGCAUUAUUAGAUAUAACUCGAAAAGUAGUUGUUAGAUCUCAAAUAAAUUUAAAUGGGACCAAUUGGCACACAAAACCUUUCGAUUAAAACAAAAUUUGUCGAAAUCGGUCUACCCGGUCAAAAGUUCUGAUGUAACAUACAUAAAAAAAAAAAAAAAAAAAAAAAAAAAAAAAAAAAAAAAAAAAAAUACAGUCGAA